AUACAACUGACGAGUCCCAAAUAGGAUGAAACGUGCGUCCUGGAU
rnacentral:hammerhead_ribozyme from 1 species